UUCUAGCUUGCUAGAAAACGGACAGCGGCGAACGGGUGAGUAACACGUUGGUAUCUGCCCCCAAGUCAGGGAUAGCCAUUGGAAACGAUGAUUAAUACCGGAUAGUCUCUACGGAGUAAAAAUUUAUUGCUUGGGGAGGAGCCUGCGUUCUAUCAGCUAGUUGGUGAGGUAAAAGCUCACCAAGGCUAUGACGGAUAGUUGGUCUGAGAGGAUGACCAGCCACAAUGGAACUGAGACACGGUCCAUACUCC
rnacentral:rRNA from 1 species